rnacentral:piRNA from 1 species
UGGAUUUGAAGUACUUGGGAACUAUAUUC